rnacentral:rRNA from 1 species
GACGAACGCUGGCGGCGCGCCUAACACAUGCAAGUCGAACGGAGCUGAGAGAAGCUUGCUUUUCUUAGCUUAGUGGCGAACGGGUGAGUAACGCGUGAGUAACCUGCCCUGGAGUGGGGGACAACAGUUGGAAACGACUGCUAAUACCGCAUAAGCCCACGAUCCGGCAUCGGAUUGAGGGAAAAGGAUUUAUUCGCUUCAGGAUGGACUCGCGUCCAAUUAGCUAGUUGGUGAGGUAACGGCCCACCAAGGCGACGAUUGGUAGCCGGACUGAGAGGUUGAACGGCCACAUUGGGACUGAGAUACGGCCCAGACUCCUACGGGAGGCAGGAGUGGGGGAUAUUGCACAAUGGGGGAAACCCUGAUGCAGCGACGCCGCGUGGAGGAAGAAGGUUUUCGGAUUGUAAACUCCUGUCGUUAGGGACGAUAAUGACGGUACCUAACAAGAAAGCACCGGCUAACUACGUG